rnacentral:lncRNA from 1 species
CCUCAGUGAACUAGAAGAAAUAUAUAAUCACGGGUACUUUUCUGGUCGAUCUCAAAAUCAUAUCUCAUAUUCCAAUUCACAAUGUAACAUAUACAAUCUUUGAAAUCCCACAUGUAUCAUAAUAAAAGAUAUUUCCGUAAAAAUCAUGAAAUUCGAACACAUAAUUGCAUAUAAUUGCACAUACUUUAACAAUAAACUUAAUUUAUAAAUACUUUAAAAAUAUUUAUAUUUUUCCACUCACAGGACUAAUUCGAUCACCAAGUGUCCUGACCUCGAUAUUUCCUGAAAAAAUGUAACAUUUCUUCGUAUUAGCAACCAUUUAAUCCAACCCCCUAGCCAAUGGACCAAAGAAAUAUCCAAUUGCAGUCACUUUCUAAUUGAAAAUAAUUAUUUUUGUUUGAAGGUAAAAGAAGAAUUUAAAGUAGAGUCCCAUUCUUUUCUCUCUUGUUGCAGGUACCAAUUAAUAACAAUUGGUCAAAUCCAUAAUCAAAACUCCUUUAACUCAUUCUCGUUCCUGUUUCUAUUCAAUGUAUAUAAAUUUCUGUCCAUAUAAUACUUCACAAUUUGAAGCAUUGGUUUAACUUUGAAAAUGAAGCAAAACAACCUAGCACCAUAAAAUUAAAUUAUAAUUCACCAUAAUCUUGCCCAUAUCAUUUCUUUAUUGAAAAUAAGCCAUUAAAUUUCUUUCAUAUAGAAUUCAUCAGUAAUGUCUUAACAAGUCUCCAAAGUUUAAACCAAAUAUUCUCCUGUUGUUUCUCCACUCCUUUACUAAUGUUUAAUGGUGGACUUAUAUUCAUAAUAACCCUACUCACCUUUGUUGAACUAACCCAUCUCUUGCCUUAGUACCUGUAUUUAGCUAUAUAUGGGCAUCAUUAUGCACAGCCCAUCACGUACAAUUCCAAUUAUUUUGUGAUGAAAUUCUUGUUCACAUGAUCAAAUUAACCCAUUUCCUUUCUUCCUUAGGGCUUGCCCUGCUUCUUAGGUCUAAUUGCUACCAAUAACUAUAAUGAUGAAAACAAAAUCCAUAAACCUGAACUACUACAAUUUGGUGUUACCUUGUUGCAGUCAAGAAUCAACCCCAAGCGAGAAGCAUAAUUCGACCUUAUUCACGUCGAUGUUGCUGCUCCUUACCUGUUUAUUUGCAAUUCUAGUUAUUGUUUCUCUUCCCCUCUUUUCUCUCUCUUUUUCCUCAUGUUUCUCGAUUCUUCUCUACUUCUUUUUGCAUUUUUU